AAAUGAAUAGACGGGGACCCGCACAAGUGGUGGAGCAUGUUGCUUAAUUCGACAAUACACGAAAAACCUUACCUGGGCUUGACAUCCUUUGCAAAGCUAUAGAAAUAUAGUGGAGGAUAACAAAGAGACAGGUGGUGCAUGGUUGUCGUCAGCUCGUGUCGUGAGAUGUUGGGUUAAGUCCCGCAACGAGCGCAACCCUUAUUGUUAGUUACCUUAUCUGAUAAAACUGCUAGCGCAAGCUAGAGGAAGGUGGGGACGACGUCAAAUCAUCAUGCCCCUUAUGUCCAGGGCUGCAAACGUGCUACAAUGGUUGGUACAAAGUGUUACAAAAUCGCAAGGUCAAGUCAAUCACAAAAAGCCAAUCUCAGUUCGGAUUGAAGGCUGCAAUUCGCCUUCAUGAAGUUGGAAUCACUAGUAAUCGCGUAUCAGACAUGUCGUGGUGAAUACGUUCCCGGGUCUUGUACACACCGCCCGU
rnacentral:rRNA from 1 species